GGCAUUGCUGCCCACCAGCAGAGGAUCAGGCUGACAUCUUCAGGAGGCAUAUGGAGGGGUACAAGCAAUUUUCCAGUCUUGACCCUUUAUCUGUUGACCAAGCUAAGGCAGAAACCAGCUAAAUUCUGGAUUUAAUCUUGAGCAGCAAAAAAGAUCAGCUUUUGAAGUGGAUCUGCUUUUAUUCUUGGCAAAAGUUCAGCGGAGACCAACCAGAGUGGUGACAAAGUUCUUCAACAUCAAGCCAAAUGUAAUACAAGGAAUUACGGAUAGUGCUUAAUCUAAAAUAAAGAAAUUCCACAUCUCCCUAAAAAGUUAUUGGCUUCAAGAAUGAAAACAAAAGAAGCAUAUUUGUCUCAAUCCAAACACAGACACCAGAAAGACAAACCAGGAGUAUACAGCAAAGUAGCUUGCAGGAUAAUACAUUGAAAAAUGUAAUUGUGCAUAAAUCAUGCACAAAGUAGAAACCACAAAUUCUGUAUUUGGCAAGGCUUCGGUUCCUUUGCAUAAUUCUUUCAUUUUCAUCUUGCUGCUUCCAUUCUCUUUUCAUCAAAAAAAGCUACAUAAAACAAAGACAUAAACUGUAUGCAAUUAAAAUGAGAAAAUAGCUGAAAGGAAUGUAUUGAUAAUUAUGUUAAAAUCUAUACCAUAAGUAUUCUUGCAUUGUUAAGCAUCUAAUUUUUCAUGUGUUGACAUCAGCAUCUCAGUUCUCUCUAACAUCUGAAAGCUUUUUUUUUUAAGGCAACUUCUUUUAGAGUGAACAAACUUAUGUACCACCGAGUUGACAAAAGUAUAACUAUAUCCUACAGAAAGAGACCUCAAGUAAACCUCCAGCAGCCAUCUGGACUUCCAUGAAAACAGAACAAUCAGUGAGAUGCAGAGCUUGGAGGAGACAGUUUCCAUAGACUGAAGCACGUGCUGAAGCAAAGUUCACACUUGCAGGAUUAGAAGAGGUUGACCGAAAGAAGGAAGGACAUGGACAGCUAUGUUGUUGUGGAGUCCUGUUUUAUAGUCAUAACCUUGAGUCAAGUGAGUUUGUCUGGACAGACAGAGCUUGUUGCCUUUACUUAUAGGGAAGGCACCGGACACAGACAGCCUCAAGGACAUUUGUUCUAGCCUUUCAGUAUCCUUUCUCUUAAUUAUCUCACCUCAUCCAUGAAGCUGGUAUGUACGAUUUUUCCUUUCUUUCUCAAUCCUUUAAAAAAUUAAAGCUCUAAAUCU
rnacentral:lncRNA from 1 species